rnacentral:rRNA from 1 species
CACGUAGGCACCAAGCGUUAUCCGGAUUUAUUGGGCGUAAAGAGCUCGUAGGCGGUUCGGUAAGUCGGGUGUGAAAACUCUGGGCUCAACCCAGAGAGGCCACCCGAUACUGCUGUGACUAGAGUGCGGUAGGGGAGCGGGGAAUUCCUGGUGUAGCGGUGAAAUGCGCAGAUAUCAGGAGGAACACCAGCGGCGAAGGCGCCGCUCUGGGCCGUAACUGACGCUGAGGAGCGAAAGCAUGGGUAGCAAGCAGG